ACACCCCUGCCGAGUACGACACUUUCGGCUAAUAUAACCCAACACGUUUAUUUAAGGGAGCUAUCGCUCCGUUGGCGGACUGCAGACCUCCCGGAUUUAUUCGGAAGAAGGGAGCGAAAAGCCAAAGGGCUUGCACCCACCUGCAUGAUUGCAGGUUAUAAUUCAGCCGUUUUCGGCUUGGUGGGGCAUAA
rnacentral:other from 1 species